UACGUAGGGUGCGAGCGUUGUCCGGAAUUACUGGGCGUAAAGAGCUCGUAGGCGGUGUGUCACGUCGGCCGUGAAAACCUGCAGCUUAACUGUGGGCGUGCGGUCGAUACGGGCAUCACUGGAGUUCGGCAGGGGAGACUGGAAUUCCUGGUGUAGCGGUGGAAUGCGCAGAUAUCAGGAGGAACACCGGUGGCGAAGGCGGGUCUCUGGGCAGUAACUGACGCUGAGGAGCGAAAGCGUGGGGAGCGAACAGG
rnacentral:rRNA from 1 species